ACCUUCGGGCCUCUUGCCAUCGGAUGUGCCCAGAUGGGAUUAGCUAGUAGGUGGGGUAAAGGCUCACCUAGGCGACGAUCCCUAGCUGGUCUGAGAGGAUGACCAGCCACACUGGAACUGAGACACGGUCCAGACUCCUACGGGAGGCAGCAGUGGGGAAUAUUGCACAAUGGGCGCAAGCCUGAUGCAGCCAUGCCGCGUGUAUGAAGAAGGCCUUCGGGUUGUAAAGUACUUUCAGCGGGGAGGAAGGGAGUAAAGUUAAUACCUUUGCUCAUUGACGUUACCCGCAGAAGAAGCACCGGCUAACUCCGUGCCAGCAGCCGCGGUAAUACGGAGGGUGCAAGCGUUAAUCGGAAUUACUGGGCGUAAAGCGCACGCAGGCGGUUUGUUAAGUCAGAUGUGAAAUCCCCGGGCUCAACCUGGGAACUGCAUCUGAUACUGGCAAGCUUGAGUCUCGUAGAGG
rnacentral:rRNA from 1 species